rfam:Macrophomina phaseolina MS6 contig00564, whole genome shotgun sequence.
GCCCGGCUAGCUCAAUCGGUAGAGCGUGAGACUCUUAAAACACUCUAGAGUGUUAUCUCAAGGCUGCGGGUUCGACCCCCGCGUUGGGCU